rnacentral:rRNA from 1 species
GACGAACGCUGGCGGCGUGCCUAAUACAUGCGAGUUGAGCGAUGAAGCUUGGUGCUUGCCCCAAUUUGAAGAGCAGCGAACGGGUGAGUAACGCGUGGGGAAUCUGCCUUUGAGCGGGGGACAACAUUUGGAAACGAAUGCUAAUACCGCAUAACAACUUUAAACAUAAGUUUUAAGUUUGAAAGAUGCAAUUGCAUCACUCAAAGAUGAUCCCGCGUUGUAUUAGCUAGUUGGUGAGGUAAAGGCUCACCAAGGCGAUGAUACAUAGCCGACCUGAGAGGGUGAUCGGCCACAUUGGGACUGAGACACGGCCCAAACUCCUACGGGAGGCAGCAGUAGGGAAUCUUCGGCAAGGGACGAAAGUCUGACCGAGCAACGCCGCGUGAGUGAAGAAGGUUGUCGGAUCGUAAAACUCUGUUGGUAGAGAAGAACGUUGGUGAGAGUGGAAAGCUCAUCAAGUGACGGUAACUACCCAGAAAGGGACGGCUAACUACGUG